UACAGAGGUCUCGAGCGUUAGGCGGAAUCACUGGGCUUAAAGCGUGUGUAGGUGGAUGCCUAAGUACCUUGUGAAAUCCCACGGCUUAACCGUGGAACUGCUUGGUAUACUGGGGUGUCUUGAGUCACUCAGGGGCGAGCGGGAACAAAUGGUGGAGCGGGUGAAAAUGCGGUAGAUAUCAUUUGGAACGCCCAAUGGUGAAAACAGCGUCGCUGGGGGUGCACUGACACUGAGACACGAAAGCCAGGGAGGCGAACGGG
rnacentral:rRNA from 1 species